GGGGAAUAUUGGGCAAUGGGCGCAAGCCUGACCCAGCAACGCCGCGUGAAGGAAGAAGGCUUUCGGGUUGUAAACUUCUUUUAAGAGGGAAGAGCAGAAGACGGUACCUCUUGAAUAAGCCACGGCUAACUAC
rnacentral:rRNA from 1 species